rnacentral:rRNA from 1 species
UUCUUCUUGAUUUUAAUCUGAAGUAUAGCCUGCCCGCUGAUGAAUAUUGAAGGGCCGCGGUAUUGUGACCGUGCGAAGGUAGCAUAAUCAUUAGUUUUUUAAUUGAAGGCUGGAAUGAAUGGUUGGACGAGAUAAGGGCUGUCUUGUUAUUAAUGAUUUAGAAUUUAACAUUCAAAUUAAAAGGUUUGAAUGGUAUUAUGGGACGAGAAGACCCUAUAGAGUUUAAUAAUAUGAAUACUGUAUUUGUGUUUGAUUAUUAAUUUAGAUUUUGAUAUUAUUUUGUUGGGGCGAUAGUGAGGAUAAAAUAACCCUUAUUUAUAUUGUUGAUACUGAUUUGUAUUAUUUUGAUCCAUUAUUUGAUGAUUAUAAGAUUAAAUUACCUUAGGGAUAACAGCGUGAUUUUUUUGGAGAGUUCUAAUUGAUAAAAAAGAUUGCGA